GACGAACCGUCCAAACGUUAUUCGGAAUCGCUGGGCUUAAAGGGUGCGUAGGCGGCGCGGUAAGUAGGGUGUGAAAUCCCUCGGCUCAACCGAGGAACUGCGCUCUAAACUACCGUGCUUGAGGGAGGUAGAGGUGAGCGGAACUUAGGGUGGAGCGGUGAAAUGCGUUGAUAUCCUAAGGAACACCGGUGGCGAAAGCGGCUCACUGGAUCUCUUCUGACGCUGAGGCACGAAAGCUAGGGUAGCGAACGGG
rnacentral:rRNA from 1 species